rnacentral:misc_RNA from 1 species
GAAAUGCGAUAAUUAAUGUGAAUUGCAGAAUUCAGUGAAUCAUCGAGUCUUUGAACGCACAUUGCGCCCCCUGGUAUUCCGGGGGGCAUGCCUGUCCGAGCGUCAUUGCUGCCCUCAAGCACGGCUUGUGUGUUGGGCUUCCGUCCCUGGCAACGGGGACGGGCCCAAAAGGCAGUGGCGGCACCAUGUCUGGUCCUCGAGCGUAUGGGGCUUUGUCACCCGCUCCCGUAGGUCCAGCUGGCAGCUAGCCUCGCAACCAAUCUUUUUAACCAGGUUGACCUCAUCAGGUAGGGAUACCCGCUGAACUUAAGC